GACGUGUUGAACCUGAAACCGUGGUGUUGAUCCCUGGAUGGAAAUCUUAGUCCAGAAGGAUCAACAAGACUUCACUUUAGGAGACUCUCUCCAUCAGCUUCAACAGGUAUAAUUAGUUGCAAGGUCUAUUACUGUAAAGAAGAUGAAGUGUGCCUGUACCAAUCCCUUUUGUUUGAAAUACCCUUCCACAAUGAAGUUCCAGACUCAACCCCAGCAGAAAUUACUCUUGCUUAUGCCAUUUAACCGAAAAUUUCAACAACUGGUUUACAGCUUCCAGCUGCAGCCUCCUGAAAGCAACUCCAUAUAACCACCUUCUUUCUGUCAGUUAU